rnacentral:rRNA from 1 species
UACGAAGGGUGCAAGCGUUAAUCGGAAUUACUGGGCGUAAAGGGUGCGUAGGCGGUUGUUUAAGUCUGUCGUGAAAUCCCCGGGCUCAACCUGGGAAUGGCGAUGGAUACUGGGCAGCUAGAGUGUGUCAGAGGAUGGUGGAAUUCCCGGUGUAGCGGUGAAAUGCGUAGAGAUCGGGAGGAACAUCAGUGGCGAAGGCGGCCAUCUGGGACAACACUGACGCUGAAGCGCGAAAGCCAGGGGAGCGAACGGG